CACUUUGGUUCCGUCUCAAUUUCUCUUUCACAUUCACCUUCUAGUCUCCGAUUUCUAUCACUGGACCAUUUUCUGCACACAAACUCUCACUAAACCAUAGAGAUAAUGGAUUUGAAGAAGAAGAAACUUGGGUGAAUCAAAGAUGUCGUGGCAAACAUAUGUUGAUGAUCACUUGCUUUGUGAGAUUGAAGGUAAUCAUCUCACUUCUGCUGCUAUUAUCGGUUAAGAGGGCACCGUUUGGGCCCAAUCUGCUAAUUUCCCUCAGCUGUGUCAAAUAUAUUUCUCACGAGUUGAAGAGCUCCAGAAUCAACCGGAACAAGAUUAUUAUAUUGGCUCAACUGUUCAGGACAAAUAAUUC